rnacentral:lncRNA from 1 species
AUACGUAGGAGCUAGACUGAACUUCUCGUCAGACCCAUUAGUAAAAAACUAAAAUUUUCCCCCUUUUGUAAUUAUCUUUUAAUAAACUGAAAAAACUGCAAACAUUUUAUGAUAAACACUUUUACCUAACUAAUUAUAAGGUUCUCAUUGAGUAUAACAGAUGUAAUGAAUGAUAAUACCUUCCCCUCACUAACCGACUACCG